ensembl:lncRNA
AGGCAGGGUUGAGCAGAACUGAAAUGUGGAGGUUGCCGGUGGAUAAGACCGAAAGAGAGGCCGCAGGCACUGAAAGCGUGCAUACGGAAGGACACUGUGUUGAUAUAUAAGGAGCCUCUCUUACUCAGAGGACACAGAGUCAGGCUCCAGUGAUGAUCCUCACAUCCUUUACAGGAAGGAGCACCCCGCAACUGGAGUACCACCUAAACACACAUCUGCACACCUGGAUGGACCGCUGCAGAAAGCAGGAGCACUUUUUCGCGUGUCUUCAUC